CACACCUUUGUUGCUUUGGCGGGCCCGCCUCGGCCACCGGCUCCGGCUGGUGAGCGCCCGCCAGAGGACCCCAAACUCUGAAAUUUAGUGUCGUCUGAGUACUAUAUAAUAGUUAAAACUUUCAACAACGGAUCUCUUGGUUCUGGCAUCGAUGAAGAACGCAGCGAAAUGCGAUAAGUAAUGUGAAUUGCAGAAUUCAGUGAAUCAUCGAAUCUUUGAACGCACAUUGCGCCCCUUGGUAUUCCGGGGGGCAUGCCUGUUCGAGCGUCAUUACAACCCUCAAGCUCUGCUUGGUAUUGGGCGUCCCCGGCGACGGGGUGCCCUAAAAUCAGUGGCGGUGCCGUCUGGCUCUAAGCGUAGUAAAUCUCUCGCUCUGGAUGCCCGGUGGAUGCUCGCCAGAACCCCCCAUUUUUACAGGUUGACCUCGGAUCAGGUAGGGAUACCCGCUGAACUUAAGCAUAUAUGGACCG
rnacentral:rRNA from 1 species